rnacentral:rRNA from 1 species
ACGCUGGCGGCGUGCUUAACACAUGCAAGUCGAACGAAGAGCGAUGGAAGCUUGCUUCUAUCAAUCUUAGUGGCGAACGGGUGAGUAACGCGUAAUCAACCUGCCCUUCAGAGGGGGACAACAGUUGGAAACGACUGCUAAUACCGCAUACGAUCUGACCUCGGCAUCGAGGAUAGAUGAAAGGUGGCCUCUAUUUAUAAGCUAUCACUGAAAGAGGGGAUUGCGUCUGAUUAGCUAGUUGGAGGGGUAACGGCCCACCAAGGCGAUGAUCAGUAGCCGGUCUGAGAGGAUGAACGGCCACAUUGGGACUGAGACACGGCCCAGACUCCUACGGGAGGCAGCAGUGGGGAAUCUUCCGCAAUGGACGAAAGUCUGACGGAGCAACGCCGCGUGAGUGAUGACGGCCUUCGGGUUGUAAAGCUCUGUUAAUCGGGACGAAAGGCCUUCUUGCGAAUAGUUGGAAGGAUUGACGGUACCGGAAUAGAAAGCCACGGCUAACUACGUGCCAGCAGCCGCGGUAAUACGUAGGUGGCAAGCGUUGUCCGGAAUUAUUGGGCGUAAAGCGCGCGCAGGCGGAUUGGUCAGUCUGUCUUAAAAGUUCGGGGCUUAACCCCGUGAUGGGAUGGAAACUGCCAAUCUAGAGUAUCGGAGAGGAAAGUGGAAUUCCUAGUGUAGCGGUGAAAUGCGUAGAUAUUAGGAAGAACACCAGUGGCGAAGGCGACUUUCUGGACGAAAACUGUCGCUGAGGCGCGAAAGCCAGGGGAGCGAACGGGAUUAAAUACCCCGGUAGUCCUGGCCGUAAACGAUGGGUACUAGGUGUAGGAGGUAUCGACCCCUUCUGUGCCGGAGUUAACGCAAUAAGUACCCCGCCUGGGGAGUACGACCGCAAGGUUGAAACUCAAAGGAAUUGACGGGGGCC